rnacentral:rRNA from 1 species
GAUGAACGCUGGCGGCGUGCUUAACACAUGCAAGUCGAACGGUGAAGGCGGAGCUUGCUCUGCUGGAUCAGUGGCGAACGGGUGAGUAACACGUGAGCAAUCUGCCCCUGACUCUGGGAUAAGCGCUGGAAACGGCGUCUAAUACUGGAUACGAGCUGCGAAGGCAUCUUCAGCAGCUGGAAAGAAUUUCGGUCAGGGAUGAGCUCGCGGCCUAUCAGCUUGUUGGUGAGGUAAUGGCUCACCAAGGCGUCGACGGGUAGCCGGCCUGAGAGGGUGACCGGCCACACUGGGACUGAGAAACGGCCCAGACUCCUACGGGGGGCAGGAGUGGGGAAUAUUGCACAAUGGGCGAAAGCCUGAUGCAGCAACGCCGCGUGGGGGACGACGGCCUUCGGGUUGUAAACCUCUUUUAGCAGGGAAGAAGCGAAAGUGACGGUACCUGGAGAAAAAGCGCCGGCUAACUACGUG